GAUACCAGGGUCAAAAGGUCAUACUUUUCAUGCUCGCAUGAAAAAGUAUGACUUUGGGACCCGCAAAACAUGAGAAAGUAGCCCGAUUAGGGCGGAUUUCGAAUGUUUUAGGAUUGCAAGAGCACAAAGUGCGUAGCAAUCCGUUGGUAUC
rnacentral:sRNA from 1 species